UCCCGGCAUUCGCAUCGAUCAGCGCUGAUCAAGCGCACAAGCAGCUGCCCGCUAGUGUCUCGGUGGAGUCCAGUGUUUACAGUCGAUGUCCAAAUCUAUGUCGAUGUCAGUGUGGGUUCCACUCGGCGAGUGUCACAAGUUAGGAAGCUGUCGUCUGCCUCGUGGAUUACGAAAAUGAUAAGGUAAACAAACGGUUGCCCAACACAAGCGGCGUCUACCGAUCUAUGAGCGUGACCCCCGGGCAGUUAAAGCAUGGGGUGCGGCUGGCUGCGAUCCCUACUCUACCUCACCCUCGGGGCUCUGCACCUCCCGUUUGCCGUCGCCACGACAUCUGCAGUCGACCGACUCCAAGAGGCGAAGCAGGCCCUAGAGUAUGUCAGCAGGGUGGAGUCCAGCAAGUGUGGGGGUGGGACGGAGGAGACGCUCACCCUCGCGUUUAACCACACUGCCUGGAUCACCUACACCGACCCCGCUAUAAGGACAGCCAACUACUUGAGCAAGGUCCUUGUGAUGGAUGAUAAUACACUGAACCGCUUCGAUGACGCCAUGUUCUACUCCUUUGUACGCAACAACGUCCACGGCGACACGCUCAUCUUCGGCUCUGCCAUUGCACUUGAGCCGGGGCUUUAUGAUGAAUAUGCUCGCUACUGUCCAUAUGCUCACAAGAAACAGGACUCUGUCGUUGCCUUCGACAUCGCCGUCAAAUACAACUACCUCACCGACAGCACGGAAUGGUACCAUGGGGUCGGAGUUAGAGAUUUCUCCAACGCUUCCGUCCAAAUCGACACCGUCACAUUCAAUUUCUCCGACCCCUCCAGGAAAGAUGUGCCUAUUCGCCAACCUAUUGCCAGGUAUGAAGACGGGCGCUGGACAUACCCAUAUUAUGAUUGUGGUGGUGGCAAUAUUUGGAUGGUUACAUAUUCCGCACCGAUAUUAGCAGUAGAUUCUAACAACGCCACAGUCUUCAAAGGCGUGGCGACAAUUGACAUCGAACUAACCAACAUCGACAUCAACCAGUGCGACGUUCAUGCUAAUGACAGGACGGGAGCCCUGGACGUGUUCCGUGGAACCCACAACUGCCAACCUACCACACAGUGCGAGCCUCUGAUUGGAGAAGGGUUCCAACGAGGAGCCUAUGAAUGCGCUUGUGAAGAUGGAUACUAUUUUCCAAACACCUCGGCGACGACACGUGCCUACAGUGGCUAUGACAUUGAAACAUUCAUUGACCUCAACAACGAAUCCAACAUCGCCCCUCGUUUCCAGUGCCUUCUGUGCCCCCGGGGAUGUGACACGUGCGUGGACGCAACCCCCUGCCUCUAUCCCUACAACGUGGCUCUCAGGGUGGUCGUCCUGCUCAUCAUUGCCUUCAUCGUCGCUGGAUGUGCUGUCGUCGCUAUAUUUAUUCACAAGAAUAGGAAUGAAAUGGUUAUCAAAACUGCCAGUCCUUUGUUUCUUCACCUCAUGUGCCUCGGAGCUGUCAUAAUGUGUUGUCAUGGUUUUGUGCUGUACGGGGAGCCGAGUGAUGUCAGCUGUACUUUAGAGAUCUGGCCAUUCCACUGUGGCUUCAGCAUCAUGUACGGAGCCCUUAUACUGAAGACAUGGAGAAUCUCCGUGAUAUUCAGCGUCGGUUCAAUGAAGCGCAUCAGCCUGCCCGACAAAGCAUUGUUGCAUCGCCUUGUGCCUAUUAUCGUCGUGGUCGUCGUAUAUUUGUCGUGCUGGACGGCAAUAGAGCCACCUCGUGCCGUCACUAUCACCGCCUCAAACUCACUCAAGUUCUUUCAAUGUGGGCCAACGUGGUGGAUGUUUGCCAUAUAUGGAGCCGAGGCCCUUCUGCUGUUGUUCGGGGUGUACCUGUGUUUCACGGUCAGGAAAGCACCUGCUCAUUUCAACGAAAGCAAACACAUCACGUGGUCCACGUACAACGCUAUCAUCCUCGGCACCUUUGUCCUCAUCCUCAAUCAGUUAAUCGCGGUGUCGGCAGGCCCGGACAUCGUGUACGUUCUUCAGAUGGCCGAACUUCAGGCUCUCGUCACCAUCACAAUGACGCUUAUCUUCGCUCCAAAGGUCUGGGCUCUGUGGAAAGGAAUUGACGCCCAGGAGGAGCGGGGUACGGCGGUGCAGCAAGCCACGACCAUCACAGGGAGGGUGAAGCUGACCCUCCCCAGCGUUAGCCAGCCGGAACAACGCAGUGUCGGUGUCCAGGUCAUGCCAGACGACGUCUACAUCGGCAUUGUAGGUCCCGUUAUUCUUAAUAGCACACAACUUUGAUAUGAUGACGUUCGUAAAGGGGUGCCUCCCUCAGAAUCUGGGCCCCUUGCAAAAUGCGGUCUUAGCGCUAAGAUGAUCAUAACUCCCAUACUUUAACAUAGGCUUACGAUAGUUUUAGCACUAAAAUUGCUUUGUGCAAGUGGGACCUUGUGUCAGAUACAUACCGUGGUUUAUGUUGGGAUAAAGUCUCUUCAGAAAACCAAAUGGAACUAAAUUUCCAAUUUGCGAACUGUGGUAAACGAAAAUAUACGAAAAACGUGUUGGUUGUUUACCAAGAGUUAGUAAACAAAACACCAAACUGCCGAAAUUCGCGAUUUUUAAAUGAUGUAAAUAGAACGCAAGCCGUAGUCUGUAAUUGUAUGUAAAAGUCAUGUUUAAAGCAGCCCCUUUUUAUAGCACGAGGAAGGAUAAGGGCUAUGUUUGGCUCGCAUGAUUUGAGGUUUGAAAAAAACUUGUAGAAUAGGUUUGAAAAUGAUCAGAUGUGCUUUGACUUGCAUGUUUGUGACAUAUGACAACACACAAUAAAUACCUAUGGAUCAAAUAUGUCAAAAUGGCUGAUUUGAGAGGUUUUCGGGAAGCGUUUUCCAAUGAACAUGAGCAAAUCUUUGCCCCAAGCUGAGCAUCAAAGAUAUAGAUAAAACAGUACUUGCGAUUCUUUUGCGUGUGAGUAUAUGAUAAAAGAGUCUUGUUGUGUCACGGAUUUAAAUUUUCAUUAAAAAUCCUCCCUUUUCACUCAUUUUAGUAAUAUGUAUGUAUGUGAUCAUGUCCUUAGUCCAAAACUACAAGUGUUAAGAAGGAAAAGAUAGAUAUGAGCUAUUUGUAUAUGGCUGAUAAUUUUCAUAUCAAUGUAGUGAAGUUUGACUUCAAAAUCUGAAAUUCCAAAAAUGGCCCUUACCCUUCCUCAACCUCGUCCUCUGUUUAAUCUGACAUGGCCAUGUCUUUGUUUUCUGCGCUUGACGGUUAAAAUGGUAAAAAGAGACUUUAUAAAAAACGAGCAAUGUUGGAUUUGUGUACCGUUUGAAACGUAAUAUUGAGUUCAAUUGUCUUCGGGCUCAACAAACGUUUUUGAGCCUUAACAAACCUACAAAUACCGUUGUCGAUGUAUGCAUCAAUCGUUUAACAGUAGUGACGGUUAUCUGUUUCCGUGACGUGUACAUUUCAUCCUUAUUACCACGUAUCACUGUAGCAAUACACACAUCAGUCUCUGCUGCCUCAUCAUUUUGAAUGAGUGAAUGUAUUAGGAUGUAGAAAACCCAUACAAUCUGGGACUCGAACUUAUCAUCCUGCAACGGCUAAGGGAGGCAACUGUGCACAGCGACCUGCCGCGCCUUAGACCAUUAGCAUGAAGUUGAUUUACAAAUGGAUGUCUGUGCUGAUGAAUGUGUCAUUCCACAUUGCUUUCUCUGAACUUGAGUGAGUAUGGUUUUACGCCGCUUUUAGCAAUAUCAGCCACAUUACAGCGAGGGCCACCAUUAACGGGCGACGUAUUGUACCCAUAUGGUGGGGGAAUCGAACCCGGGUCUUCAGCGUGUCGAUCGAACGCUUUAGCCACAAGACUACCCCAACCCGGUGAGUGGCCCCGAUGAUACAGAGGUCAUGUCCCCCCAAGAAGUGAGGAGAAACCGUUAAGGGUACAAAUAUCCUGCUAUUUGCAUUAUUUCGGAGUUAUGUAUUUAUAUUUGUUGCAAGUGACGAGGACAUCUAUCUUAAAGAAUAUGCUUUAUGGAAGAAUCGCCACGGGCCAAAAAGAGCGUCAAUGGAUCAAAGAAAUCUGCGAAGGUUGUCCCUUUGUAACACUCGGAGCUCGUGUUCGAAUCCUAAUCCUUGACAACGAACAAUCACUGGAUUGUUUCAAGGUCAUCACAGAUAUCAUGGAUCGACAUUCCACUAAUCUCAAUAAUCUCGAUAAUCACUUGCAAAUGCCCACACCAUGCCCACAUCACCGCAAACCAUUCUCCUGGUCCUGGUGAAAUCAACUGUCCACUACUUUGGUCGAGACUGAAACUACAGCUAGGAGGCUAUGUGAAGUAAUGUUACGAAUUGUUAUAGAUAUUGCCAGGCUGAAUAAUCAGGAGGGUUGACGCUUUGGAACAGUAUGAAGUCGAACAGUAGUGCAAAUAACAUUAAAGCUUCGAUAAAUUGCGGAUUAUCCGUCCCGAUGAAGUAAAUUUUGGGAAGGGAUUGUGGAGGUGGGGCCAGUGUGUGUGUGUGUGUGUGUGUGUGUGUGUGUGUGUGUGUGUGUGUGUGUGUGUGUGUGU
rnacentral:misc_RNA from 1 species